rnacentral:lncRNA from 13 species
CCUGGUUCACCAACUACUUCUCUGAUAGAGUUCAGUGUGUCAAAUCGGAGGGUCUGCUUUCCGGACCUCUGGCAGUCUCUAUGGGGGUGCCACAGGGUUCAAUUCUUGGACCGACUCUCUUCUCUGUAUACAUCAAUGAUGUUGCUCUUGCUGCUGGUGAGUCUCUGAUCCACCUCUACGCAGACGACACCAUUCUGUAUACCUCUGGCCCUUCUUUGGUACUGUGUUAACAACCCUCGAGGCAAGCUUAAAUGCCGUACAACUCUCCUUCCGUGGCCUCCAAUUGCUCUUAAAUACAAGUAAAACUAAAUGCAUGCUCUUCAACCGAUCGCUGCCUGCACCUGCCCGCCUGUCCAACAUCACUACUCUGGACGGUUCUGACUUAGAAUACGUGGACAAUUACAAAUACCUAGGUGUCUGGUUAGACUGUAAACUCUCCUUCCAGACCCACAUCAAACAUCUGCAAUCUAAAGUUAAAUCUAGAAUUGGCUUCCUAUUUCGCAACAAAGCAUCCUUCACUCAUGCUGCCAAACAUACCCUUGUAAAACUGACCAUCCUACCAAUCCUCGACUUUGGCGAUGUCAUUUACAAAAUAGCCUCCAAUACCCUAUUCAACAAAUUGGAUGCAGUCUAUCACAGUGCAAUCCGUUUUGUCUCCAAAGCCCCAUAUACUACCCACCAUUGCGACCUGUACGCUCUCGUUGGCUGGCCCUUACUUCAUACUCGUCGCCAAACCCACUGGCUCCACGUCAUCUACAAGACCCUGCUAGGUAAAGUCCCCCCUUAUCUCAGCUCGCUGGUCACCAUAGCAUUACCCACCUGUAGCACGCGCUCCAGCAGGUAUAUCUUUUUGGUCACCCCCAAAAACAAUUCUUUCUUUGGCUGCCUCUCCUUCCAGUUCUCUGUUGCCAAUGACUGGAACGAACUACAAAAAUCUCUGAAACUGGAAACACUUAUCUCCCUCACUAGCUUUAAGCACCAACUGUCAGAGCAGCUCACAUAUUAUUGCACCUGUACAUAGCC